rnacentral:rRNA from 1 species
CAGUAGCCACGGUAAUGCGAAGGGUGCAAGCGUUGCUCGGAAUUAUUGGGCGUAAAGGGUUGGUAGGUGGUCUUGUUUGUCUAAGGUGAAAUCCCAUGGCUUAACUGUGGAAGUGCCUUAGAAACGGCAAGACUAGAGUCCUAGAGGGGUUUGUGGAAUUCCCGGUGUAGCGGUGAAAUGCGUAGAGAUCGGGAGGAACACCAGCGGCGAAGGCGGCAAACUGGAUAGGCACUGACACUCAACAACGAAAGCGUGGGGAGCAAACAGGAUUAGAGACCCCGGUAGUCCCUGUCUCUUAUAC